GCAGUUAACUAACAAAGAAGAAGAAGAAGCAGCAGUUGUUUUAUUUUUGAAGGAUUGUGACCGGAAGUCGCAUGGUGAUCGUGACCAUUUCAGCUUUCAGAUCAACAUGACGAGUCCCUAUCACUAGCAACAUCUGGAUUUCCCUUUGAGUUCUGUUUUUGUAAGUAUUUGAAAACAAUGUAAGUUGUUUGUGAUUUUCAUCAUGGUAGCAAUGUGGUGACAAAGCCAUGGUAAAGCGAAUGCUUUAUGCUCAGAAAUGUAAUUGUAAACAGCCUGCUGUCAAUUCUCGGAUCAUGCUGUUGACCUGUUUAAACAAGUGCUCGCUUGUAGCGUCUGUAGCGACAGAUGGUGUAGCUAAUUGGUGUUUGGUGUGGCAAGGUACUUCGCAGUAAGCGAUGCACUCUGAUUGAAAAUAGUGUAGGAACAUUUUGACAUAAACCAGGCAAGAAAAACAAAAUGAUAUUUUGAUGAAAUAACUGGCACAUGCUGUCAUUUAUUUGCCGUGAGAAGCACGACAACCAUCGCCAGGAAGGUGAAGCUAGUUGGCUGCUUGUCCAUCACAACGGUAAUUUAACGUUAAAAUGUGAACCGUUAAUUACAGUUGACGUGAUUCGUGUGAUUUGUGCUUCUUCCCCAUCCUUCUGUGCAGCUUUAGGAUGAUGAAUUUGGCGACACGGUUGCAUUUUAAGUUUUUAGUCAGCCUAACAGGUGCAAAAUUAGAGCUCUGGUCACUGCAAUAGCAUUACAUUAAGCUAACUUAACACCUUUUUGAAACCUCCUGUUUAAUCGUGCGGACAAAGUGUGGGGCUGAUCUCCGUGUUAAAAUACACAGAGAUGAAAAAAAAAGAGCAUUCCAUAGUGUUUCGAUUUUCAUAUUCAUAUCACAUAUUCAUCCAGGGUCGUGACGCCAGACUACGUUUGUUGUUUUCCUUGUGUAGCAGGUUAGCAGCAAGCUAGCGGGCCGUUGUCAACCAGGACCCGGAGAAGUAGCAUCAUCAUCAAUGGUGUAUCUACAAACACGAGCCUUCACAUUUUCCCGUGUGUGCUCAAUGAACUAUUACCUAAUCUUUCAUCGCAGUAAGUAUUUAACCAGCAAUAUUUUAUGUUGUGUCACAUGUCUUUUUAAUAGGUGUAAAGUGGUAGCUACACGUCAUACUUGCGAUGUAAACUUUCUUUUAGACCGUACAUGUAUGGCGUUUGCGAAGCAGGGAGGGGAAUUUUGUCAAGCCCAGCACCUGCUGCUAAUUGUGGACAAGUGAACUGGAGACACCAUCUUAGGCGAAUACAGCCAUUCACACAGACAGGUGUGUGGAGUGAAAUUUUGUUGUUUCAUCUAGAUUAAUGGUUCUCAACUGGUCUCACUCUGGGACCCACAUUUUCCCAUAGUCCUUAAGCCCAUAGUC